GGCGGGUUAUGCUGGAACGGUCCCACACAGGCCCCAUAAGCCUGAGAAACGAGUUCGACUCUCGUACCCGCUA
rnacentral:tRNA from 1 species